GACGAACCGUCCAAACAUUAUUCGGAAUCACUGGGCUUAAAGGGUGCGUAGGCGGCGCGGAAAGUUGGGUGUGAAAUCCCUCGGCUCAACCGAGGAACUGCGCCCAAAACUGCCGUGCUCGAGGGAGAUAGAGGUGAGCGGAACUUAGGGUGGAGCGGUGAAAUGCGUUGAUAUCCUAAGGAACACCGGUGGCGAAAGCGGCUCACUGGAUCUCUUCUGACGCUGAGGCACGAAAGCUAGGGUAGCGAACGGG
rnacentral:rRNA from 1 species